AUGACUUCCAGAGAGAGAGGAGAGGCUGAAGGUUGAGUUGAUUACCAGUAGCUCACGAUAUAAUCAUUCAUGCCUACAUAACACAGCUUUCAUAAGAACCCAAUAGGACAGGGUUCAAGGGGCCUCUGGAGAAUGCCACACCUAUAGAGGCAUGGAAGCUCUUUGCCACUUUCAUCUAUUGAUCUAUAUCCUUUGUAAUGCCUUUUAUAAGAAAUGGGCAGAUGCAGCAUUGCUCAGGAUGGAGAUUUUGCACUCAGUCCGGAAGGCAUCUAUAUUGCGUCCUGUGAUUGCUGCAUUUUACUGAAGAAGAAAAAUAUGUAUCUUCUAAAUGAGCAGAAUUAUGAGGGUGCUUCCAUUGCCUUAGAAAAAAUACACAAUAACAAUAAUAGCAAGAACCCUGACUAAUACUCAUACUUUCGGCAAUAUGUUAAGAAGAGGAAAUUUCAAAGUAGACAUAUCAGUAUCAAUGAAAACAAAACACAAAUUCAGUGGCAGCCAGAAACAAACAAGGGGAUGCCCCUUAUUCACUAAGUGGAAGUGGCCACUUGGCUAAAUGAGAUACACGGUUAUGGAGGAAUUCAAACAAUGCAAAAGAGAGAAAAAGAGUAAUCUCUUUGUUGGCCUCACUAUCAAGCAUGCACUUUUUCUUGUUGCUGUCUGUGGAACAGUUGCUGAACUAUCGAAAACUGCACACCAAGGGAAAAAGAUGCCUCCCUGGUCAACCUUCCUGGAAAGUACACCUAUCAUUACUGCUUAGAUUUUGUUGGAGAGAAAUCACACUACCAUCAAAGAAAAUGGGUCAAAGAGAAUGCCAUCCUAAGCUGAGAAGCCAUCUUCCCAAUGACAUCCAUGAUUGCUAAAGUCCUAUUGCAUGCUUUAAGAUGCCUUGCAUUUGGUGAAUUGAAGCCUGAUAUGUCAACAUAUUCUCUGUAAACAAGCAGUACAGAGGGCAAAGAAACACUUAUCAAGCACCACAGCUAGGACAAAAAGAAUUAUUUUGACAGUAAAUGGACUUGCAGCUUAAGUUGGUGUGUAUCAAAUUGUGACUAAACCAAAAGAAGCAAAUCUGGAAACUGAAGUACCAAUACGUGAAAAGAGUUCUUUUGGUAUUGGGAGUGCCAGUUGUCUUUGUUCAUGAACUACUUCUUCGUAAUAGACAGCAUGCAGCCGUCUUCAAGAGGAUUACUCAAAGUUAUUGAAAAGAAAUACAGGUUCUGGUGGACAAUUUCCAGUCUGGUGUCUGCAUUUGGAGAGAUUCUACAGCACAUGCAUGAAUGGCAAUAAUCUUUUAUUACAAAGUGGUUUCCAAAAUGAUCAGAGAAAGCAAUAAAAUUCUAAUUUCAUUCCAAAAA